GACGAACGCUGGCGGCGUGCUUAACACAUGCAAGUCGAACGGAGUGGCGAACGGGUGAGUAACACGUGGGUGACCUGCCCUGCACUUCGGGAUAAGCCUGGGAAACUGGGUCUACUACCGGUGAGUGUGGGCUGGGCCCGCGGCCUAUCAGCUUGUUGGGGGGGUAAUGGCCUACCAAGGCGGCGACUGGUAGCCGGCCUGGGAGGGUGGACGGCCACAAUGGGACUGAGACACGGACCAGACGCCUACGGGAGGCAGCGGUGGGGAAUAUUGCACAAGGGGCGGAAGCCUGAUGCAGCGACGCCGCGUGGGGGAUGACGGGCUGCGGGUUGUAAACACCUUUCACCAUAGACGCGGUAGAUGGAGAAGAAGCACCGGCUAACUACGUGCCAGCCGCCGCGGUAAUAC
rnacentral:rRNA from 1 species